rnacentral:rRNA from 1 species
GACGAACGCUGGCGGCGUGCCUAAUACAUGCAAGUAGAACGCUGAAGGAGGAGCUUGCUUCUCUGGAUGAGUUGCGAACGGGUGAGUAACGCGUAGGUAACCUGCCUGGUAGCGGGGGAUAACUAUUGGAAACGAUAGCUAAUACCGCAUAAGAGUAGAUGUUGCAUGACAUUUGCUUAAAAGUUGCAAUUGCAUCACUACCAGAUGGACCUGCGUUGUAUUAGCUAGUUGGUGGGGUAACGGCUCACCAAGGCGACGAUACAUAGCCGACCUGAGAGGGUGAUCGGCCACACUGGGACUGAGACACGGGCCAGACUCCUACGGGAGGCAGCAGUAGGGAAACUUCGGCAAUGGACGGAAGUCUGACCGAGCAAAGCCGCGUGAGUGAAGAAGGUUUUCGGAUCGUAAAGCUCUGUUGUAAGAGAAGAAAGAGUGUGAGAGUGGAAAGUUCACACUGUGACGGUAUCUUAACAGAAAGGGACGGCUAACUACGUG